CUGGCGGCGUGCCUAAUACAUGCAAGUCGAGCGCAGGAAAUCAUCCGAACCCUUCGGGGGGACGUUGAUGGAAUGAGCGGCGGACGGGUGAGUAACACGUAAAGAACCUGCCCUCAGGUCUGGGAUAACCACGAGAAAUCGGGGCUAAUACCGGAUGGGUCAUCGGACCGCAUGGUCCGAGGAUGAAAGGCGCUUCGGCGUCGCCUGGGGAUGGCUUUGCGGUGCAUUAGCUAGUUGGUGGGGUAAUGGCCCACCAAGGCGACGAUGCAUAGCCGACCUGAGAGGGUGAUCGGCCACACUGGGACUGAGACACGGCCCAGACUCCUACGGGAGGCAGCAGUAGGGAAUCUUCCACAAUGGACGAAAGUCUGAUGGAGCAACGCCGCGUGAACGAUGAAGGCCUUCGGGUCGUAAAGUUCUGUUGUAAGGGAAGAACAAGUGCCGCAGGCAAUGGCGGCACCUUGACGGUACCUUGCGAGAAAGCCACGG
rnacentral:rRNA from 1 species